CACACACACAGAAGAGAUGUAGUCCAGAGCUUCGAGCAAGAAGAGCAGCAUCCAGAGCACUCUCAGUUAGCUUAGUAGUAGUACCAACACCACUUGUAAAAUAGCCACUAUAUCGAAGAUGUUGUAAUCGCCAAGAAUAAUAAGGUAUCUUUUUCAGCUUGUGUAACCCCUUUGGGGCCUCCCGAAAGGGAGAACCACAUGUAAAUUAUGUUGUGAAAAUGAUGUAGUUUCGUGCUUCACUUGGGUUUUUUAUUUAUGAAUUUAUGGGAUGAGUUCUUAUGUUAGGGACCCUACAGGAGAAACUCUGCUAGUAGUUCUCUGUUUAGCCUUGUGUGGCGUUUGAAUGAGAACAUUAUGCCCGUAGAGAAGUGUUUCCUUCAGGUGAAAUUGCCUGCGAAGACGAUAGGAAUUUAUCCCAUAAGUUUGCAUUUAAAAAGAUCAAGUGAACGAACCUAGCUACAUCUGAAAACAACAUAAUGAAAAAUAUGAUGAGUACUAAGUAGGAUACAACACCACUGCGCACAUCACCGGUUGUACUGUUGGCCUCACCAGCCCUUAAUAGAUCAAGCAUUAGAAAAUAACUAGCUUGGUAAAGAAUAGAACCUGCAAACAAUAGCAAAGAAUUAAAUAUUGUAGUGAAUAGUGAAUACUAUUCAAAUAGAAUAUUAGCGUAAUCGUAGAUUAGCCUAAUCGCAUAUUAGCUUAUUAACUUAAUUGCAUAUUAGGCCAUUAGGUUAAUAUUCUAUUUGAAUAGUAUUCACUAUUCACUAUAAUAUUUAAUUCUUUGCCGCUGUUUGCACGUUCUAUUCUUUAUUAAGCUGAUUAUUUUUUAAUGUAGCAUCUAUUAAGGGAUGACGAGGCCAACAAUACGACUAGUGGUGUGGGUAGUGAUGUGAUAUCCUACUCAGUACUCAUCAUAUUUUUCUUUAUGUUGUUUUCAGAUGUAGCUAGGUUCGUUCACUUGAUGUUUUUGAAUACAAACUUAUGGGGUAAAUACCUAUCGUCUUUCCAGCGGUUGCACCCGAAGGGAAUACUUCUCUACGACCACAACAUUCUCAUUCAAACACCACAAAAGGCUAAACAGAGAACUACUGAUGGAGGUUUCUGAUGACCCACAAGUGUAGGGGAUCUAUCGUAGCCUUUUCGAUAAGUAAGAGUGUCGAACCCAACGAGGAGCAGAAGGAAAUGACAAGCGGUUUUCAGUAAGGUACUCUCUGCAAGCACUGAAAUUAUCGGUAACAGAUAGUUUUGUGAUAAGGUAAUUUGUAACGGGUAACAAGUAAUGAAAGUAAAUAAGGUGCAGCAAGAUGGCCCAAUCCUUUUUGUAGCAAAGGACAAGCCUGAACAAACUCUUAUAUAAGGGAAAACGCUCCCGAGGACACAUGGGAAUUAUCGUCAAGCUAGUUUUCAUCACGCUCAUAUGAUUCGCGUUCGUUACUUUGAUAAUUUGGUAUGUGGGUGGACCGGUGCUUGGGUGCUGUCCUUCCUUGGACAAGCAUCCCACUUAUGAUUAACCCCUAUUGCAAGCAUCCGCAACUACAAAAGAAGU
rnacentral:lncRNA from 1 species